UACAGAGGGUGCAAGCGUUAAUCGGAAUUACUGGGCGUAAAGCGUGCGUAGACGGUUACAUAAGUCGGGUGUGAAAGCCCCGGGCUCAACCUGGGAAUUGCAUUCGAUACUGCCGUGCUCGAGGACUGGAGAGGAGACUGGAAUUUACGGUGUAGCGGUGAAAUGCGUAGAUAUCGUAAGGAAGACCAGUGGCGAAGGCGGGUCUCUGGACAGUUCCUGACGCUGAGGCACGAAGGUCAGGGGAGCAAACGGG
rnacentral:rRNA from 1 species